rnacentral:lncRNA from 12 species
CCAAAAAUUUAUGAUAUGCUCUUGGGAAAAACAGAUCUCAUCUUCUUAUCGCAUAAUGUUUUUGGUGAUCUCAAAUGACAGGAUGUACUCCAAAGCAUCGUGUUGACCAGGGAACAGAAUACACAGUCAAUCUUAGUUUCCUCUCCUGAUGGCAACACAGAAUUCUUGGAUGUUUGCAAUCUCUUUCACAUUCAUUUCCAGCAUGUGGUCUGAAUUGAUUCCUUGUUUCUCAAUUACAACCAUCAUGGAAUCAAGAUUAAUAACCUGCUUGGGAGAAGGAAGGUGUGGAAAGAAGGCCGACAAGGCAAGUUGAAGACAAGAUUCCCGACUGGGAGAAAUUCAGUGCCCACCAAAGUCAUGUCCACUCAAACAGGGACAGAGGAUCUGCUACCUGCUGGAAGACACGAAAGGUGACUUGUGCUAAGGUGCGCUCCGCCUGUCGCGCCGCAAGCCGCACGGGGGGGGGUGGCCCGCGCGUCCUGCAGCGUCGGGGACAGCCGGCCC